AUUCAUUUCUCUGAAUACUAUCUCCAUAAACAUGAUCUGUAUUCUGUAUUUUUAUCUGCUGAGCCACUGUGAGUUAGGGCAAGAAAAACAGUGCUGAAGAUGGGCUUUUCAACCCACCUUACUAAGCUGUCCUUCUGCCAUCCACUUCUUUUGUCUCUUAUGUUCAAAUGUCAGGUGUUAGGGGCAAAUAUAAGGACCCGGCCAAAUGACUGCUGCAGGCAUCACUUUGCUAGUGAGUGUUUUUGUCUGUUUUCCACCGUUGGGUUGAGUAACCCGUUGAGCAUGCCAGUGACACUCAAACCCUUUGGGACACUCACUCUUUAGGGCUCCCAUUGCAGUGAGCCAUGUCCUUCCUGUGGUGAGGACACAGUGAGGUAGGAGCGGGGCACAGAUGGUGGCCAGCACUCUUUGCAUCCCCUUCCUGGUCAAAGCUGAGCAAGUGCUGGAUGAGAAGGAAGUACAAAGCCCAAUGUUGUGGUCUGGUGUAGCAAGUGGUUGCUCCGGAGAGGUGGGGCGUUAGUGCCUUUGCUGUUGGCCCAGCACACACACCUGCCAGGGGCUGCAGCUGUCACCUGCUGACUGCCAGGGCCCCCAUGUCUUGUCUGGGCUGGAGGCAGAAAGGUAGGAGGGCCAGACAUGGGAUGGCUCACUGUGCAUCUGUCUCCUAGGAGCACAGCUGGGGACAUAGGUGGGCCCUGAACCUGGUCAACCAUGGGUGUCACUUCCAUGUCACGCUGGUGUCACUGCUUCUCUCAUUGUGCUGCUUGACAGAGCGAGGUGAUGGCUGAGCCCUGCUUCCAGCUGCCCAGAGCCUCAUGCCCAUUGUGCAGCCUGGCAGUGCCACCCUGUCCCCAUCCUGUCCUGGGAGUGGUUUUUAAUUCAUUAUAAUUUAUGCAUCCUUGCAGUCGGGCGCAUACCUGACCUGUCAGCUCAGCCAAGAUGGAGGCUGACAGUUGUCACCAGGGCUUGGAGGUGACUUCCCAUGCUGAUACAUCAGAUGGACUAACGAUCUUUUCCUCUCCCCCUCCUUCGCCCUCCUGCCUCUUCACCUCCAUGCCAACCCUGCCACGCCACGCCACGCCACGCCACUGCAGGGACACCCCGGACGCAGGCCCACCCGGGAGACUUGGUGUGCGUGGAGUGCGGCAAGAGCUUCCACCAGCCCGGCCACCUCAGGGCCCACACACGGGCGCACACAGUGGUGUUUGA
rnacentral:lncRNA from 1 species